CAAUUUAACCAGCAUGGUGGAUUUGCCCGUUUUUACUGUCAAGCAUCAACACUGGCAUUUAACCUCAGCAUAAAGAGACACGUGACUAAACUUACAAUGUAAGGUUAGCAAUUUUAUUUAUUUAUUUACUUAUUCCUCAAGAAUGCAUUGUUUUGCCAGCAGACCAACGUGCUUGCAUUACAUGUGAUAAAUGCAAUAUUCUGGAAGAAAUGUAUUAAAAUGGAUUUCAAAAGACAGAUGAAAUGUAAACCCAAUAUCCUUCCCUUUCACCAUUAAAUAAUGUUAUAGAAAGUUAAAUAAUGCACAAAACAUACAGUGAUCAGCCAAACGCUGUCUAACCCUAUCAAACACAGGUCAACGCCAUCAUAGCAGCCGUCUGAAAUUUCCUCCACUGGAGCUGUUGAAUGCUUUGGAAGUACAGAAAGCCUAGAAUUGAGACAGAAUUACACUAGCAUUGUGUAAAUAAUCAAACUGUGACCUGUGGGGUUAAAACCUAUAAUUGGAGUGAUACUUCAAAGAGAUGACUACUUUUUCAGCGCUAUUUUGUGCAGCCAGAUAGGAAGAUGACUCGUUGGGAUUUUAUUGGCCAGCAACACUAUUGCAAAAGUGAUAUUUUCAACAGCUGCUGGUGCAUUUGUGCUCUGACAAAUUAGGGGCUAAAUCGAAGCAUUAAAGAACAUCAAAGGCCUAAUUUAAUGCGAAAAAACAAGUACUCCAACUGGAUCUAUUUUACAGUGAAUUAAUAAUGCAGAUUUAUACAGAAUGUGAAGCACUGAGUGCUUUGUUUUUAUGGGGACUUCAAAACCACUUUUCUUUUUUCCCCCAACACAAAACAUUAGAGUUAGUUAUCUGACUGGUAUUUUCUUAAUGCUUUUCUUUUAGUCCAAAAAAACCCAUUAAUUACUGGAAUAAUAGUUUGGGUUAACUUGUAAUUUCAAACUAUAAAGUAUACCAUGUUAUACUGUCUCACUACCAGUCCUCCCCUCACAUAGAUUGGUGCAUUGCUAUAUAUACACAUUAUAUCAGACCUAUUACACAAUUAAGAAAGAUUAUUUAGGCACAUAAUCCUUUUUAUUAAGUCUUAUUAUUAACACCACCAUUGUUGAGCUGUUAAGAAUGAAAAACACUGGGGUUUACCAUAAAGUACAGUAGGUGGCAUGCGAUAUCUCUUCUUUUGACAGAACUUAUCUUUUACAAGACUCAGGAAAUAUUUAGUGUGUUAAAAUUAAUUGCAGGAAACCCAACAUCACAACCUUUUGUUGUUUGUUCUCAUCUAAGUAAAAAUUGAGUUGCCCCAUGAAGCUGAGUUGUAAGCUAUUUUUGCAUUUCAUCUGCAAUUCCUGUUAAAAAGAAAACCUAAUCAAAGGGUACAUAUAUAUAUAUACAUAUGUACACACAUCACACAAGUAACACUGUAUCUCCCUUUUAUUUUGCGGAUCAGCUAUUUUUUGCAUAAGUAUUUUUAGUAACUAAAACCUGGCUUGCAAUGUGUUUCAGAUGGAGUAUAUUACAAAAAAUUCACAGGAAUUGUCAGAUGAUAUUUUAGUUAAGAAAUAUUAGAGGGGGAGGAAAACCACACAGUUCAGACCUUUAACAGAUGUUCAAAUAUAGGGGUAUGAUCUUGUACCAGGGAAGUCAGCGGGAUGUUUGCCACUGACUUUAGUAAUAACUGUUUGUGAAAAACCUGAAGUUAUUAAAAAUAUAACUAUAAUAAUCCCAAAAUAAACAGCGCGGAAAGGGGCAAACGAAAGCACUCCUACUGAACUGGUUCAUUUUAGUGUUGCGUGCACCUAGGUCAAAGUGAUGCUGACAGUUUACUAUCAGAAAUAUAUACAUACGUAUCAAGAACCACUGCUGCAUGUAGAUGCUUAUAAAUAGUCGAAAUCAUAAACUUCAAAUUCCACAGUUUCUGUUGCAGUACAGUGAGUCAUUUUCCAGAUCCAUACAGAUCUUCAGCUUGUAACUUACACCAUCACAGCUACUUUUUAUAUAUGUAAUUCUGAACAUUGAUUGCCCAGCACUAAGUUUCCCCAGCAGGGCUUUUUUUUUGCUGUCUCAAGCACUUAAGUUGUAGAUAUCAUCACAUUUUUCUCACUCAUAAAAAGACUGAAGAUUUUAUACAUCAAAAUAGAACUUCAUUAGAAACAAAAAUUUUAUUCUAAGAUUAGGAAUUUCAUCAUACAAGAAAAUGAAACCAGUUGUCUACCUUUGCCAGUAAAAGAAAAAGAUAUAAGUCCUCUAUACAACCAGGAUUACCCAUAUUGAUAUUUACAGUAAUAAAGCAAGCAGCAUGGCUCACUUACUGGACUGGGAAACAGACCAAAUAUCUAACUGCUGAUGUCAGUAGAAUUCCUGGGUUAAAUAUUGUAAAUUUAUUUCUAUUAUGUAUUACAAAAGGCACCCUUCCUCAUUAAUUUUACUGAAGUCUCCAGAUGGGAAACAAAAUAUUAAUUUUGUUCAGCCUUAGGCAUUGUUGACUGUUAAGGUACUCACUAAAUCACUGAUCUUAUACACAUUAAUAUUAGAUUUCUGCUAUAAAAAUUUAAGACCCAUGGGUAUAAGGUUCAGUUUGUCAUAAGUAUAAUUAAUUGUUUUCAGAAAUGAUUAAUUUGUCAAAAUGGCAAACAUAUAUAUUGAGCAGGCAAGACUCCUGAUCAAGCUAACCUACCUUAAAGUCAUGGUAAUACUCAUGGAAUUAUGCAAAUUAAUUGAGUCUUUCAAUGUUGCAUAAAAUGCUACUACUAGUACAAUGCAUGGAACAUUAGGCUGUUCAUCCAACAAAAAAGUUGCAUUUUAAAGGCAGCAUCUUUACAAGGGAGUCCUUAUGGCUGAAGGUCCUUAGAAGUGCAAUCUAUUUUUCUGCAAAGUGAUAGACUUUCAACCGUUACACAGAAGUUGUAUUUUUUAUUACAAUUUUUUAAGCAACCCUCAAGAGAAGAAAAAACAGUAAAAUUCCACUGGCCUUGAGACAAAGGAACCUGUGAGGUUUGCAGUCAAUGCUGGUGCUAGGGGGAAAUGUCCUAGCAAUAAGAGUUUUACUAGUAAAACCUCAUUUACAAGCCUGGGAACUCAUGAUACACUACAUUAAAAUCUAAAAAGAUUAACUUAAUUAUGCAAAUUAAAUUUACUGUUUAUCUUCUAAACAGUAAAAGUCAUUGACAACACUGAAAUAGCCAAAUUAUUCUAAAUGCACUUCUUUCCCUUUGAUGUGAACCACACAUAAAAGUGAAAUUCCUUAACUAUUAUCCAGAAAGUCCAUUCAAAUAUAUAUUUAUGUUCCUCAGUAGCCAAAAAUUUUGGUUUUACAUCUAUUAGGAGUGGCUGGUUAUCACUGAACUCUGCACAUCAAUAUAGCAGAUAAAAUAUUUGUAUCAAAUAUAAUCACUUUUGGUAUACAUAGACAAUUCCAACUAUGAUUAAGUAGUCCUAACAAAAUAUUCCCUAACAAUGGAGUUUCCUGAAGGUUCAUUCUGCUAACUUUAUUUCUUCAUUCCUAAAAACAGUAAUUUGGAAAUAUUUUCAAAGAUAUUUUGAGGACUGAAUGCUAGAACCCAGGUAAGAUGUGAGUGCAUCCAUUCUGGCACACUGUAGAACAACACAGGGGCAUUAGACAAAUUAACUAGUGAAUCAACUGUUAUGGUUUGAGGUAACACCUUCUGGCCUUGGUCUAAUAGACAAGUAGUAGUUUGAAUCUGUCCAGUGUCAACAGUCUUGUUAUUAACAUAUAUAUCUAAUACACAAUUAUUACAACAAACCUAGUAGCCUUUUUUUUUCCUACACCCAAUCACACUUUAAAUACUUUUAUUUUAACUUCAAACUGUACUUGAAAAUGUAUGACUGAAUGCAGGUGCCUGAUAUCUUGUAAAUCAAAAAUAAAUCCCUGUCAUUCAGGUUUUUUAUGCAACCUUAUCCAAUUAAUUCCAUAUUUGAUACAUUCACUUAAGAAUCAAUAUUCGGGAAUAUUAUGUCCUGAGAAAUACUAUGUCUUGUUCUGUAAAUUCCAAUAAAGCUGCUUUUUUUCCC
ensembl:lncRNA